rnacentral:rRNA from 1 species
CCUACGGGAGGCAGCAGUGGGGAAUAUUGGGCAAUGGGCGCAAGCCUGACCCAGCAACGCCGCGUGAAGGAAGAAGGCUUUCGGGUUGUAAACUUCUUUUCUCAGGGACGAAGCAAGUGACGGUACCUGAGGAAUAAGACACGGCUAACGACGUGCCAGCAGCGGCGGUAAGACGUAGGUGGCAAGCGUUAUGCGGAUUUACGGGGUGUAAAGGGCGUGUAGGCGGGACUGCAAGUCAGAUGUGAAAACCACGGGCUCAACCUGUGGCCUGCAUUUGAAACUGUAGUUCUUGAGUACUGGAGAGGCAGACGGAAUUCCUAGGGUAGCGGUGAAAUGCGUAGAUAUUAGGAGGGACACCAGUGGCGAAGGCGGUCUGCUGGACAGCAACUGACGCUGAGGCGCGAAAGCGUGGGGAGCAAACAGGAUUAGAUACCCCUGUAGUC